rnacentral:rRNA from 1 species
AGUCGAACGGUCUCUUCGGAGAUAGUGGCGGACGGGUGAGUAACGCGUGAGAAUCUACCUUUAGGUUCGGGACAACAGUUGGAAACGGCUGCUAAUACCGAAUGUGUCGCAAGAUGAAAGAUUAAUUGCCUGAAGAUGAGCUCGCGUCUGAUUAGCUAGUUGGUGGGGUAAGAGCCUACCAAGGCGACGAUCAGUAGCUGGUCUGAGAGGAUGAUCAGCCACACUGGGACUGAGACACGGCCCAGACUCCUACGGGAGGCAGCAGUGGGGAAUUUUCCGCAAUGGGCGAAAGCCUGACGGAGCAACGCCGCGUGAGGGAGGAAGGCUCUUGGGUUGUAAACCUCUUUUCUCAAGGAAGAUAAUGACGGUACUUGAGGAAUCAGCAUCGGCUAACUCCGUGCCAGCAGCCGCGGUAAUACGGAGGAUGCAAGCGUUAUCCGGAAUAAUUGGGCGUAAAGCGUUCGUAGGUGGUGAUGUAAGUCUGCUGUUAAAGCGUGUAGCUUAACUACAUAUAGGCGGUGGAAACUACAUGACUAGAGUGCGUUCGGGGCAGAGGGAAUUCCUGGUGUAGCGGUGAAAUGCGUAGAUAUCAGGAAGAACACCGGUGGCGAAGGCGCUCUGCUAGGCCGUAACUGACACUGA